UACAGAGGUCUCAAGCGUUGUUCGGAUUCAUUGGGCGUAAAGGGUGCGUAGGUGGCGCCGUAAGUCAGGUGUGAAAUCUCGGAGCUCAACUCCGAAACUGCACUUGAUACUGCGGUGCUCGAGUACUGGAGAGGAGAUUGGAAUUUACGGUGUAGCAGUGAAAUGCGUAGAGAUCGUAAGGAAGGCCAGUGGCGAAGGCGAGUUCCUGGACAGUUACUGACGCUGAGGCACGAAGGCCAGGGGAGCAAACGGG
rnacentral:rRNA from 1 species